AGAGUUUGAUCCUGGCUCAGGGUGAACGCUGGCAGCGUGGAUGAGGCAUGCAAGUCGAACGAUCCCUUUAUGGGAUAGUGGCAGACGAGGUAGUAACGCGUGGGCACCUGCCCUUGUGUCGGGGAUAACUACGGGAAACCGUAGCUAAUACCCGAUAGUCCCUCCGGGGUAAAGUUUUUCGCACAAGGAUGGGCCUGCGUGCUAUCAGCUUGUUGGUAAGGUAACGGCUUACCAAGGCUAUGACGGCUAGGGGAGGUGAGAGCCUGACCCCCACCGAUGGAACUGAGACACGGUCCAUACACCUACGGGUGGCAGC
rnacentral:rRNA from 1 species